GAUGAAGAACGCAGCGAAAUGCGAUAAGUAAUGUGAAUUGCAGAAUUCAGUGAAUCAUCGAAUCUUUGAACGCACAUUGCGCCCUUUGGUAUUCCGAAGGGCAUGCCUGUUCGAGCGUCAUUUCACCACUCAAGCCUGGCUUGGUAUUGGGCGCCGCGGUCGAUUCGCGCGCCUCAAAGUCUCCGGCUGAGCUGUCCGUCUCUAAGCGUUGUGAUUUCAUUAAUCGCUUCGGAGUGCGGGCGGCCGCGGCCGUUAAAUCUUUCACAAGGUUGACCUCGGAUCAGGUAGGGAUACCCGCUGAACUUAAGCAUAUCAAUAAGCGGAGGA
rnacentral:misc_RNA from 1 species